rnacentral:rRNA from 1 species
UACGAAGGGGGCUAGCGUUGUUCGGAAUUACUGGGCGUAAAGCGCACGUAGGCGGCUAUUUAAGUCAGGGGUGAAAUCCCUCGGCUCAACUGAGGAACUGCCUUUGAAACUGAGGAGCUUGAGUCCGGGAGGGGGUAGCGGAAUUCCCAGUGUAGCGGUGAAAUGCGUAGAUAUUGGGAGGAACACCAGUGGCGAAGGCGGCUACCUGGACCGGAACUGACGCUGAGGCGCGAAAGCGUGGGUAGCAAACAGG